UACGGAGGGUGCGAGCGUUAAUCGGAAUUACUGGGCGUAAAGGGUACGUAGGCGGUCUGAUAAGUCAGAUGUGAAAUCCCCGGGCUUAACCUGGGAACUGCAUUUGAAACUGUCAUACUAGAGUGAGUGAGAGGUUAGUGGAAUUCAAGGCGUAGCGGUGAAAUGCGUAGAGGUCUUGAGGAACAUCAGUGGCGAAGGCGACUAACUGGCACUACACUGACGCUGAGGUACGAAAGCGUGGGGAGCGAACAGG
rnacentral:rRNA from 1 species